rnacentral:rRNA from 1 species
CCUACGGGAGGCAGCAGUGGGGAAUAUUGCACAAUGGGCGCAAGCCUGAUGCAGCAACGCCGCGUGAAGGAAGACGGUUUUCGGAUUGUAAACUUCUAUCAAUAGGGAAGAAAGAAAUGACGGUACAUAAAUAAGAAGCCCCGGCUAACUACGUGCCAGAAGUCGCGGUAAUACGUAGGGGGCAAGCGUUAUGCGGAAUUACUGGGUGUAAGGGAGAGUAGGCGGCAGGAUAAGCGAUAUGUGAAAUGCGUAAGCUUAACAUAAGGAGUGCAUAACGAACUGUCUAGAUAGAGUACAGGAGAGGAAAGCGGAAUGCGUGGUGUAGCGGUGAAAUGCAUAGAUAUUAGGAAGAACACCGAUGGCGAAGGCAGCUUACUGGACUGAAACUGACGCUGAGGCUCGAAAGCGUGGGGAGCGAACAGGAUUAGAUACCCUUGUAGUC